GCUAUACAUGCAGUCGAACGAGUUCUCGUUGAUGAUCGGUGCUUGCACCGAGAUUCAACAUGGAACGAGUGGCGGACGGGUGAGUAACACGUGGGUAACCUGCCCUUAAGUGGGGGAUAACAUUUGGAAACAGAUGCUAAUACCGCAUAGAUCCAAGAACCGCAUGGUUCUUGGCUGAAAGAUGGCGUAAGCUAUCGCUUUUGGAUGGACCCGCGGCGUAUUAGCUAGUUGGUGAGGUAAUGGCUCACCAAGGCGAUGAUACGUAGCCGAACUGAGAGGUUGAUCGGCCACAUUGGGACUGAGACACGGCCCAAACUCCUACGGGAGGCAGCAGUAGGGAAUCUUCCACAAUGGACGCAAGUCUGAUGGAGCAACGCCGCGUGAGUGAAGAAGGCUUUCGGGUCGUAAAACUCUGUUGUUGGAGAAGAAUGGUCGGCAGAGUAACUGUUGCCGGCGUGACGGUAUCCAACCAGAAAGCCACGGCUAACUACGUGCCAGCAGCCGCGGUAAUACGUAGUGGGCAAGGCGUAAAG
rnacentral:rRNA from 1 species